GACGAACGCUGGCGGCGUGCCUAAUACAUGCAAGUAGAACGCUGAAGGAGGAGCUUGCUUCUCUGGAUGAGUUGCGAACGGGUGAGUAACGCGUAGGUAACCUGCCUGGUAGCGGGGGAUAACUAUUGGAAACGAUAGCUAAUACCGCAUAAGAGUAGAUGUUGCAUGACAUUUGCUUAAAAGGUGCAAUUGCAUCACUACCAGAUGGACCUGCGUUGUAUUAGCUAGUUGGUGGGGUAACGGCUCACCAAGGCGACGAUACAUAGCCGACCUGAGAGGGGGAUCGGCCACACUGGGACUGAGACACGGCCCAGACUCCUACGGGAGGCAGCAGUAGGGAAUCUUCGGCAAUGGACGGAAGUCUGACCGAGCAACGCCGCGUGAGUGAAGAAGGUUUUCGGAUCGUAAAGCUCUGUUGUAAGAGAAGAACGAGCGUGAGAGUGGAAAGUUCACACUGUGACGGUAUCUUACCAGAAAGGGACGGCUAACUACGUG
rnacentral:rRNA from 1 species